ACCUGGUUGAUCCUGCCAGUAGUCAUAUGCUUGUCUUAAGGAUUAAGGUCCAUGCAUGUCUAAGUAUAAGCAUUUAUACCGCGAGACUGCGAACGGCUCAUUAAAACAGUUGUGGUUUAUUUGAUGGUUCCUUUGCUACUUGGAUAACCGUAGUAAUUCUAGAGCUAAUACAUGCACGAAGGGGCGACUUACGAAGCCCUGUAUUUAUUAGAUUAAAGCCAACCACCUCCGGGUGUUCGUGGUGAAUCAUAGUAACUUCUCGGAUCGCCGGCUCUACGCCAGCGACGUGUCAUUCAAAUUUCUGCCCUAUCAGCUUUAGAUGGUAGGAUAUGGGCCUACCAUGGCGGUGACGGGUAACGGAGAAUUAGGGUUCGAUUCCGGAGAGGGAGCCUGAGAAACGGCUACCACUUCUAAGGAAGGCAGCAGGCGCGCAAAUUACCCAAUCCUGACUCAGGGAGGUAGUGACAAGAAAUAACAAUAAACCGGCUUAUGCCGGUUUAAUUGGAAUGAGUACAAUUUAAACAUCUUAACGAGGAACAAUUGGAGGGCAAGUCUGGUGCCAGCAGCCGCGGUAAUUCCAGCUCCAAUAGCGUAUACUAAAGUUGUUGCAGUUAAAAGGCUCGUAGUUGGAUUUCUGCGGGGGCGGGGCGGCCGGUCGCCACUGGUGACUCGAGCUAGCACUUCCCCCGCAUCCUGCCGCGAACCGUGCUACCAUUAGUUUGGUGGCGCCGGGGAUCGGCUCGUUUACUUUGAGAAAAAUAGAGUGUUCAAAGCAGGCCACACGCCUUGAAUAAGUUAGCAUGGAAUAAUAAUAAAGGACUUCGGUUCUAUUUUGUUGGUGUUCGGGACUGAAGUAAUGAUUGAUAAGGACAGUUGGGGCGGUCUGUAUUCCAAAGCGAGAGGUGAAAUUCUUAGACCUUCGGAAGACAAACAGCUGCGAAAGCGUUCCGCAAGGAUGUUCCCUUUGAUCAAGAACGAAAGUUGGGGGAUCGAGACGAUCAGAUACCGUCGUAGUCUCACUAUAAACUAUACCAGCUAGGGAUCGGCCAACGUUAUUCAAAUCGACUUGGUCGGCACCUUAUGAGAAAUCAAAGCAUCUGGGUUCCGGGGGGAGUAUGGUCGCAAGGCUGAAACUUAAA
rnacentral:rRNA from 1 species